rnacentral:tRNA from 1 species
GUAGGCAUAGUUUAACAAAAACACUAGAUUGUGAUUCUAAAAAUAGAAGUUAGAACCUCCUUGCCCACC